AACCAAACGAGUAUCAGCUGCCA
rnacentral:siRNA from 1 species